CCUACGGGAGGCUGCAGUGGGGGAUAUUGCACAAUGGGGGAAACCCUGAUGCAGCGACGCCGCGUGAGUGAAGACGUACUUCUGUAUGUAAAGCUCUAUCAGCAGGGAAGAAAAUGACAGUACCUGACCAAGAAGCCCCGGCUAACUACGGGCCAGCAGCCGCGGUAACACGUAGGGGGCAAGCGGUAUCCGGAUUUACGGGGUGUAAAGGGAGCGUAGACGGUUAUGUAAGGCUGGGGUGAAAGCCCGGGGGCCAACCCCGGGACUGCUUUGGAAACUGUGUAACUGGAGUACAGGAGGGGCAGGCGGAAUUCCUGGUGUAGCGGUGAAAUGCGUAGAUAUCAGGAGGAACACCGGCGGCGAAGGCGGCCUGCUGGACUGAAACUGACGUUGAGGCUCGAAAGCGUGGGGAGCAAACAGGAUUAGAUACCCGGGUAGUC
rnacentral:rRNA from 1 species